CAAAAUCACCAGUGUUAAAUUUUCAGGGAUGGUGUUAAAUACACAGUGUUGAUGCUGUUUUAACACUAUCUGGUAAUAAAAGAACACUGCCAUUGCUAGGCCAGUGUUAUAUCCACGACAGUGUCGGUGUAAAACAAGGGUGUUAUCAGAUUUCACACUGAGCGGUGUAAAUCAAGCCACGCCUCCACUAAACAUUUCCUGUCAGGGAUUUUACCGCCAUUUUCUUUCAAAGGAGGACUGAAGAGAGCAGAUGCUAGUUUGGUAAAAGUACAGACUUGCUUCAAAUCAUUCAGAAGAGAUGCUGUUUUUAGGGCAGUUUAUUAAAGAAGACCUGACAUGGAUGACUUCCAAUGAGAAACGACUGCUAAUACUUAUAUACAUUCAUUACAGAAGGACCCUACCAGACUAUAUUUGAAUACGGCAUACCCAUGAAUUCUGAACUGUUAUUCCUUAACCCAGUUUGGAGGAUAAGAGCUUACCAACUAGUUAUAAAUAUGCUGAGGCGAUGUAUUGCAAAAUAGCCAACAUACAACAAUUAAAGGAUAAUUGCAGACUACGUCCUGAUGAAGAUAUGGAUGACCCUCUGUCUGGUCAACAAUAGUUUAAAUAUGGAUGGGACAGUGAUGUGGCAGCUCUUCCCUGGCUCAUUCACCUCUUGCCUUCAUUUGUGAAAGGAAGAAAGACUGGAGAGGGUUAAUGUGCAACUGAAGCUACUGAUUGUGCUGUGUGAUGAGCAUCAAUCCAUGCUUUGAGGUGGAUGGAUCAGCACAGCUCUGCCUGCUCUGCGUUGGGAACAGAAGUUGCAUCCAGAGUUUUUGCAUCAUUCUGGACCAAAAAGCCAUUCCCUGCAUGAUGAAGACCACCACCGAUGCAGCCUCCCACUACAUCAUGAGUAAAACAACUACAGAACUAAAUACCAGGUUGGAACGUAUUUAAGAAAAAUGAAACGUCUUUUGAAUUGAAAUGUCUGUUUUGUUAUGGAAAAAUCUUUAGUAUUGUGAAGGAUAAGCAUUUCUGCCUGCCAGUAAGGUAAUUGCAUGUAUUUUAAUAUUCAAGUUUUGAGUAGGGUGGCUAAUUUUUUUUAACUCUCAUUUGAUUUAUUAAAGACCUUAUAAUAAGUGGUUUUCAUGUCACUGUGCUGUGGUAUAAGAUAACUUUCAUUAUUCCAUACUGUAUUCUGUUUCUAAUUGUAGCUGAGGUAUUUAAAUAAGCAGUGUUAAAUGCAAAGUGUUGUGUGUAUCAAUGUAAAUAUUAAAUGUGAUUUACUUUAAUAAAAAGAGGUUUUGCAAUAUUUCUUGUCAUUUUUCUUUUAUAGAAACAACCCAUUAGCAACAAAAGUGGCUAUUAAUCAGUAUUUUAACACUUAAAAUUGUUGAAUUCACAUUACACUGGUGUUGACCUUAAAUUAGGAGUGUUAAUUUUUAACACUGUAUUUCUGUGCCAACACCAGUGUAGUGUGGAAACAACAAUGAAUAGUGUUGAACAAAGUGUAAAAUUUAACAAUAUUGAGUGUUGAAUUAACAUAUAAUGGGUGUUGUUAAAUUAACACUACACUUUUGACUAAAUUAACACAGUGUAGUGUGGACACAUAUACACACUUUGCCGGUGUUAAAUUUGACACCGUGGGUGUUAUUUUAACACCAGUGAUUUUGCUG